CACAGGGUGGAGGUUUAGAAGGGAACGAAGGAUGAAAAGUCACUUAAUGGGCACACUGUACACUGUUUGGAUGAUGGUUACAGUAAAAGCCCAGGUUUUACCCCCGUGCGGUGUAUCCAUGUAUAAACAGUGUGCUUGUACCCUCUACAUCUGUUAAAAAGGAAGAAGAAAAAAAGUGUGAUAUCUCAUGUGAAAAAUAGGUAUACAUAUAAUGGAAAGAUAUAUCUAUUGUUAAAAAAAGUAGUUUGUCCUUGCUGGGGUUUGAAUGUGUUCCCCAAGAAGCAUGUGUUGGAAACUUAAACUCCUGAUGCUACAGGGAGAUGGGGCUUAAUGAAAGGUGUUUAGAUCAUGAGCUUCAACUUCAUCAAUGGAUUCAUGGCACUUAUAAAAGCGCUUGGUGCUGCUCAUUUGAUCUCUUGCUCUCUGUCAUUCACUCUUUGCUCUUUUUCAUGACAUGACACGGCAAGAAGACCCUUGCUAGAUGCCAGCCCUUGGAUCUUUUACUUCCCAACCCCCAGAACCACAAGUCAGUAAAGUUCUGUUCGUUAGAAAUGUACUCAGUCUCAGGCUUUCUGUUACAGCAGCACAAAAUACACGAAGACAGUCCUGAUGAAGGUAGAAUGUAUGCCACGGCUUGUAAGUAACACAGAAUCUGUUUGUCAGUUACAAGGAUUUAGAGUAGCCAAAGUGGCUAGAAUACCAAAAGACAGGGCAGGAGGCCAUGAGACUUGAGGCAACAAGAAAAUUGAGGUGCCGAGUUGAAUCUAGCUCAGUUGGUUGGGAGAGUUCAAAUUGCUUCUGGUAUUUUAUCUUCAGUGCUUGUACUGUAGAAUAUACAUUUUGCCUUAGAGAAGAAAUGCUCAAUUUCUCUUGGAAUACACUCAUUUAGCAAAUAUUUAUUGUACUAUUUUUUAUCUGAGGACAGAAACGUUCUGGCUGUUCUCAAGUGUCUUAUUUCAGGAAAGAGCACAGCGCCUGAAACACAGUAAGCAUACAAUACCUAUUUGCUAUUUAUUUGUUGAUUUGUUUUACUCAUUAAAAUGCGGGCAAAAAUUGUGUCUUCCCAACACCUUAAAAAAGUGUCUGGUAGCGAAUGUAUGUUCAACUAAUUUUUAUUAUAUGAAUAAAUGUUGAGGCUCAUCUUAUUCUUUCCCUGCCUCAGCCUUAGAAUCAGCCAUUUCUCCAAAAGUUCUGGUUUCUUUAAGAGGAAGACAGUAUUUGAAAGUCAAGGUCUGAGGUCUCUGUGUGCUCAUUAUUACUGGAGUAUCUUAUUUCUAGUUCCUUUCAGUGGAGGGAGAGCUAGCAAAGGUAAAUUAUAGAUAGACACAUAGAAUAGAUAGAUACAUCUGUAACUAUGAGUUCAUAUUGGUACCUCCAAUUCUAGUCUAAUACUUCAGAGUUAUUCUGGCCUUCUACCUUUCCAUGUUUUAAAGUAUGGUUUCCACCUGAGAUAAACCUGUCUCUCAUCAUUUACAAUGCCUUUAUUUAUUUGCUCAAUUAAAGUAAUUAUUUGCUCAAUGUAAUGAAUCUCCAGACCACCCCUGGAUGUCUCCUCCACCUGCCAGUUCCUCACCCGCCUUGAAUGCACUUCUGCCUGACUCUCCUUAUCUGCUGCAGAAUCCUGCAUGCCUCCAAGAAGCCUUCAUAUAUGGCUCCCCCUCCCCAGGUAGAUCCUGACACCUCCAUACCAGGAAGGAAGAAGGAAAAAAAUAAUUGGAAGAGAAGAUAGAAAGGGAAAGUUAGAAAGAAAUGGACAGUGGGAAGGACGAAGGUAAAGAAGCGUGGCUGUGUUAUAGAAGCCAAUGAAGGUGCAGGAGCAGAAAACAACUGAGGCUCGACCCGUGAGGGCCUGUGAGACUGGGUACUGCCUCCCUCUGCAUCCUCAGCUGCCUGGAGGAGAGUGACGCAAUUAACGCUUCAUUCAGAAACCCAUGCUUCUGUUGGCAACCCAUCCAUCUUCAUCCCCCAAACUAUCAAGAACUGUGAAGAAUCUGAGAUGUUUGUCCCACCUGCAAGGUAACAGGUUAGCCUGUGUGUUUCAUGAAUGAGUCGGAGAAAAAGAAACCUAAUUAUUCACGCAUAGCUAGAAGAGUAAGUUGCACUUUUGCUUUGCUUCCCCUUGUCGAUCCAAUGUCUGAAUAUUCAUUUUAUAUUUCAUUAUCUUGUGUAUGAACAUUUCAAAGUAUCCUUUUGAAUUUUCCAGAUACACAAUAAUAUUAUCAUCAAAUAAUGACAGUUCUUCACGCAUAUAUUCCACUUUCAAUAGGGAGAAAAUUUUCCAGAUUUUAAUUAUAAAAGAGGAAACUCAGAUUCUAGUUCUGGGUAUAAAUUGUUCCUUUCCACUGAUUGGUAUUUACUGGGUGUGUUCUAUGUAUCAGAAUCCGGGAAUCCUCAUCCCAAAAAGCAGAGAAAAGGAAAGAAGCCGGGGUUUUGUUCAUGCCUCAGGAAAAAAAAUGCAUUAUUCAUUUGUAAAUUGACAUUGAUAUUUACCGAUCAGAAAAGGAAAAAAGUUUGAUAGUAUUUAGUUUGUAAAUAAACAUUUGUUCCUUAUUUUUGAGGUAUAAUAUAUUAAGCGAAUUUAGUGUUGAACUGCUUGCUACAUUUCAUAAAAACAUCAAUGAUGAGAACAGACAUGCAAAAGCAAUUUACCAUUGUCUAAACUGAUAAAUGCAAUUUUAUUAUACUAGAUUAAAUAAAUAUAAUAUAGUUUAAAUCAUGUUGUUAAAGAACAAGAGAUGUAAAAUAUGACUACUAUAUUCAUAUAAUAAUACAAAUAUCUGUGUACAGUUUUACCAUUUGAAUACAUUGACUGGGUAACACUUCUAGAUAUAAAGCAUUAGACAGAAUAUAUCGUGUUUAAAGUGUAGGCUCUGAAAUCUGACAGGGUUCAAAUCUAGGCUAUUUACUGACAAAAUGAUUGACACUGGGCAUGUUGAAAUCUCUUGGGAACCGAAGUUGUUCAUCUAUAAAAUGAGAAAAAUAAUAAUGCCUACCUUACAGGGUUCUCAUAGGAUUAAAGGCGUUACUGAAGACAGAGUGCUUAGAACAGCGCUUGGCAAAGAGUAAACAUUCAACAAAUGUGAGGACACGUAAGAUGAGAUGAGACACUGAAUUUAAGCAAAGUGAAAGUCUUUGACCUGACCUCAUUUCUGCUUUUGUAGAAUUGGCCAUUGUACAGUGUGCAGUCUCUACAAUUCUAAGUUCAUUCAGCC